CAGCGGCUGCAGGAGGCGGCGGCCGCUGGGGUGCGCCUGUGCGCCGGCUGCGGGGCGCGCGGGUGUGUCCGCGAGGUCCUGCUCAGGGCGGGCAAGGUCACCGAGGGGCGCCCCUCCCCAGCCCAGAGGCGGAGGUAGCGAGCCCACGCGAAAGUGAGACGCUGCGGCUCGGGCAGCCUGCUCAGCGCGCGGGCUACUUGGACUUCCCAGCCCGCAGAACUGUCUGCCGCUUGUGACCCAGACUAUAUAGUUAUCACACCACAGACCCGCGCUCCCAGGAGCGCUGGAAGGAAGCCCACGGGGCGCAGCUCCGCCCUCCAGGAGCGGGGUGGGGAGAAGCGAGGCGCGCGCUGCCACCCGGACAGGCCCGUGGAGUAGCUGUGGGCCUCCGACAGGACCGUGCCCUGCUUGAAGCUAACAAUGCUAAGGGCAUUUAGUGUUGCAUCAAACACCCUUCUCAUAACUGGAAAAGAGUUUCAGGGAAAAAAAAAGGCAAACAAAGCCGGAAUGACAGCCGAAGUUAGGAAACCAGGACACCUCUGCACAGUUAGGUCAGCUGGAAAGACCAGUGCUGCGGGCAGUGGAACCACAGUUCAAUUUUACACUGAUCCAUCACUUUCAUUUAACUGGAAUUAACAUCGCCUCAAAAAUACCCAGUGGAAAAACUCAGCCUUCUUACCCUAUUUUGUGUAGCCUAUUGUGCUGUGUGUGUGUGUGUUUUAGAAAUAGGGAACUGGUUUCUUUCUUUGUCUCAUCCUGAUCUUCCUGUUGUGAAUUUGCAGUUUAAUAUGGCAUUUUGCAAUGACCUAAUUUUGGGGCAGAAUUAAAUCUGGGGUGUAUAUUGCACAACGUGUGAAUGACACCAUUAGCAGUGAUACACCAGAGCGACUUAGCUGACAUACUUUCAGCAAACUCCCUUCAAAGUACCCUUGGCAAGAAUGUAAGACAUUACUCACUCCAUGGAAACACAUAAUUAGAUUGAUAAUAUGGGGACUUUGAGAAAUUCCUUCCAAUCCUUCCAUACAAGGGCUUAUUUUCCUGCAUCUAAUGAUUAUCCUUUUGUAAUUUGGGUUCCUCUGAAACUUGAAAGUUGUGUGCAAGUAAACAACCCACGUCUGAAGGAGAGUGGUCAACUAGCUACUCGGACAGUGGCCACAGUGCUCACGAAGAGGAGGCUUUACCCCUCCCUGCUCAGCCUGGUGGAGGUCCAUGCCUCCUCCUUGCUGAACAUCAGUUCAUUUAAAAUUGAAACUGAAGACUGGAUGUUUGGCUUGAAUUGAUUGCUUUGGUUGGCUGCUUUGGUGAAACAAACAGGUGUAACAACUUGAAUCUGUAUCCCUCUCCAAAGUUCAUGUUGAAAUGUCAAGCUCAGCGCACAGACCUGGAAGUCUGUGCCCUUAUGAACGGCCCAUGAAUGGGCUCCAGGGGUCAAGCUUGCCCUUCCGUCCCUCCCACCAUGCCAGGAGCAACACUGGCCCUGCAGAGGCCCAGGACAGCCCUCACUGGACUGCAGCUCCGCUAUGCCUUUGUCUUGGACUUCCCAGCCCGCAGGACUGUCUGCCCUUUGUGACCCAGACCAUAUAGUAUUUUCUUAUCACAGCACAAUGGACUGAGACCAUGGCAAGAUUCUGAUGUCCCUUUCCUCCCCUACCCUGAAAGCCCUACAUUACCACAAACAGGAAGGGCUGAAGAAUGGCUGAGGGUGAGAUCGUCCAUGGAUUCUGCCAUCGGGGAUGCCCAGGCUUCGAGGCCUAAGUGGUGGCAGAGGUGGCGAUGGGGUUACUGAGAAGGCCUGUUGCCUGAAAGACACGCCACAGGGCACCGGGACAGGGCGUUUCAGCCCAUUCUGGUCUCCAGGAAGCCAGGCAGAAUCCCUAUCGGUCCCUCCUGGAGCCGUGACGGGCCCUGGGGAGCGUCUUGAACUGGCCUUUCCUCUCGUUCUCAGCCUGCCUUCCUUCUUCUUCCACUUUCCCCGAUCCUUUGUCUUAACUUGUUGAUGGACGAUGCUCUAGACAUCUCCAACCUUGUUUUGGAAUGAGGUGAAGAAUAAAUAACAAUUAUUCCCAGGAAAUAAAUUGAUAUUUAUUUCUUGAUACUAUUUAUAACAAAUAAAUGUGCUGUGACUUCACAAAGCCCUCGACACCCUGUGUUCCCACUGUAGAGAGGAAGACUCCACUCUGACCUGUCAGUCAACUUUCCAGUACUCUCCCGAAC
rnacentral:lncRNA from 1 species